UUCUUAUCGAGAGCGGCGGAGGGACUGGCCCGAUGAAGCCCGGCAACCGUCUUGCGCGGAUGCCUUCGCGACGGCGGAAAAGAGGCCGCUGCGGCGAAGCACGCCGCGCAGGAAAAGGUGCCAACUCCUGCGGGAUGGGCGCCUUGCGCAAGAAGCCUUGUGCGCGAGGCCAUUCCGAGAGAUAAGAA
rnacentral:ncRNA from 2 species